UAACAAGGAUUCCCCUAGUAACGGCGAGCGAAGCGGGAAGAGCUCAAAUUUGAAAGCUGGCACCUCCGGUGUCCGCGUUGUAAUCUCGAGACGUGUUUUCCGUGCGGCUCUAUGGACAAGUCCCUUGGAACAGGGCAUCGUAGAGGGUGAAAAUCCCGUACUUGCCAUGGAUGUACCGUGCUUUGUGAUACACGCUCUAAGAGUCGAGUUGUUUGGGAUUGCAGCUCAAAAUGGGUGGUAGACUCCAUCUAAAGCUAAAUAUCGGGGAGAGACCGAUAGCGAACAAGUACCGUGAGGGAAAGAUGAAAAGCACUUUGGAAAGAGAGUUAAAAGUACGUGAAAUUGUCGAAAGGGAAGCGCUUGAAGUCAGCCAUGCUGCGCGGACUCAGCCCGGCUGAUGCCUGGUGUAUUUCCCAGCAGCAAGUCAGCAUGGAUUUGGAUCGCCGGAGAAGGGUGGGAGGAAUGUGGCACCCUCGGGUGUGUUAAGCCUCCUACUGGAUACGGCGAUUUGGAUCCAGGAACGCAGUGUGCCUCUGGCGGGUCUUCGGACACCUUCACACUUAGGAUGCUGGCGUAAU
rnacentral:rRNA from 1 species